CCGGUAGGGCUGCUUAGCAGGUUACUGUGAUAUAGUAAUUGUAAAGUUUAUAUUUCGUCGGU
rnacentral:tRNA from 1 species